rnacentral:rRNA from 1 species
GAUUAUGGCUCAGGAUGAACGCUAGCUACAGGCUUAACACAUGCAAGUCGAGGGGCAGCAUGGAGUUGCUUGCAAACUCUGAUGGCGACCGGCGCACGGGUGAGUAACGCGUAUCCAACCUUCCCUAUAGUAGAGGAUAGCCCGGCGAAAGUCGGAUUAAUACUCACGUUUUCCGUUGCAGACAUCUAAGAUGGAACAAAGGCUUGCCGCUAUAGGAUGGGGAUGCGUCUGAUUAGGUAGUCGGCGGGGUAACGGCCCACCGAGCCAUCGAUCAGUAGGGGUUCUGAGAGGAAGGUCCCCCACAUUGGGACUGAGACACGGUCCAAACUCCUACGGGAGGCAGCAGUGAGGAAUAUUGGUCAAUGGGCGAGAGCCUGAACCAGCCAAGUAGCGUGCCAGGAUGACGGCCCUAUGGGUUGUAAACUGCUUUUAUGCGGGGAUAAAGUUCACUACGUGUAGUGUUUUGUAGGUACCGCAUGAAUAAGGACCGGCUAAUUCCGUGCCAGCAGCAGC